rnacentral:ncRNA from 1 species
AACCCCAUGCUGUGACGGGGCAUGACACAGCAACCUCCCUGUUGGACUUGCCGGGCCUCGUGCCCGGCAUUUUUU